AACGAACGCUGGCGGCAGGCUUAACACAUGCAAGUCGAGCGAAACGUCCGGGUCUAUCGGCGGACGGCGGAGUAACGCGAGGGAAGGUUCCCUUCUGUACGGAAUACCUCCGGGAAACUGGGAGUAAUACCAUAUCGGCCCUUAUGGGGGAUGAUGUAUUGGAGCAGGAUCGGCCCUCGUUGGAUUCGGUUGUUGGUAGGGUAAUGGCACACUACGCGGCGGAUCCAUAGCUGGUUUGAGAGGAUGGUUAGCCACACUGGGACUGAGACACGGCCCAGACUCCUACGGGAGGCAGCAGUGGGGAACCGUAGAAAAUGGGGGCAGCCCUGAUCUAGCCAUGACGGGUAAGUGAUGAAGGCAUUAGGGUUGUAAUGCUCUUUCAGCUGGGAAGAUAAUGACGGUACCAGCUGAAGAAGCCCCGGCUAACUACGUG
rnacentral:rRNA from 1 species